UAGGGAAUCUUCGGCAAUGGACGAAAGUCUGACCGAGCAACGCCGCGUGAGUGAAGAAGGUUUUCGGAUCGUAAAACUCUGUUGUUAGAGAAGAACAAGGACGUUAGUAACUGAACGUCCCCUGACGGUAUCUAACCAGAAAGCCACGGCUAACUACGUGCCAGCAGCCGCGGUAAUACGUAGGUGGCAAGCGUUGUCCGGAUUUAUUGGGCGUAAAGCGAGCGCAGGCGGUUUGUUAAGUCAGAUGUGAAAUCCCCGGGCUCAACCUGGGAACUGCAUCUGAUACUGGCAAGCUUGAGUCUUGUAGAGGGGGGUAGAAUUCCAUGUGUAGCGGUGAAAUGCGUAGAGAUGUGGAGGAAUACCGGUGGCGAAGGCGGCCCCCUGGACAAAGACUGACGCUCAGGUGCGAAAGCGUGGGGAGCAAACAGG
rnacentral:rRNA from 1 species